GCAUUUUUUUGACCAUUUUUUCUGUCUAACUAAUAUAAUUUGAAGAAAAUUAGGAAUGUUUUGUAUUAAAUAAUAGAUGUUUAAACAACAACUUGAACAAAGUCUGUCUAUCAAAUGGACUCGCAAGUAGGCUAUAUAUACAGUAUCAAUCUAUUAUAACUUAAUUUAUCGAAUGUAAAAUAUUAUAGGCCUAAUACAAAAUAAAAAAAGUUGGAUACUUUUAAACCAGUAAUGAACACAACAUCCCAUUUGUCACAAUAAAAUCAUGGGCCAGCAUCUACUUAAACUUGCUCUACUUUAACUCCGCUGUAUUGAAAAAUGAUUAUUGUACAAUUCCAUGUUGCCCACACUGUUCCUUCAGUUCAGAGUUGCCCAGGGGUAAUGAUUUGUUUUGAAACAACAUUGCAAACAGCGUAUCGCGCAGAGGUGUCUUGAGAAUGCCUUUGCUGCCCUUUCGGGGUCCUUAAAGUUACUGUAGCAUGUAAUUGUGGCAGGAGAGCCAGCGAAGGGCGAAUUGGAUGGUAGAGAGUAUUGGCACAAACUGGGUUCUCAACAGUAAUAGAUGCCUCUUUAUGAAGGCUGGGCAAUUUUGUUCAAUAACAAUCAAAUUUUCAAUCUGGAGAUUGAGACCAUGGUACGAAGUUAUGAAGGAUACAAAUUGAACUGCUGAGGAAACUUUGUGGACAGAUAAAAUUGCAUUAGCAUAUUGUGGGUAUUGUUUUGUUUACAUUUAGCUAACGUUACGUGGUCAAGUGUUUAAUAAAAAUAUAUUCCUGUGUCCACUGCUUCGGUCGAAUGGACCGGCCUUACAACGAAUUAAAACUUAUGUCAGAUAUACUACUGGACAGCCUCAACUUUUAGCAUUAGACUUUAUGGCGAUAGAAAAGGACUUAUUGUUGUACAACAGAGUGAUCUAACUUUUCUUAAGGAAAGAAAGGAGGAUGGAUUUUGUUUACAAAUAAUCCACAGGCUAAUUUGGUGAGAUUAAUGCAUUUUAUUUAGUAAGCAAAUAAUAUUUGUAAAAUGUACAUUUUGUGAAUAUCACUUUUUUGAUAGUAAACCUUUGAAAAACUCUUUGCAUUGUCUUUGCAUAAUAGACUGUCAGCAAAGUAAUUUGUUAUAGCAUACUUUUGAUUCUGCAAAACACUUGGUAAGCUGUUUUAAAAAAACAUUUAUGCUAUUUUCUUUGACGAGUUUGACUUCAUUUCAAAUACUUUUCAAAUGGGUUUCUUUAUAAUAUUCACUGCAUCUCAUUUUGUAGUGUCUUUUUAUAAUAAAGUAAAAUUUGUCUCUUAUUCCUUGAGGUGUAAUAUACAGUAAUGUCUAUUUUACUUUACAAUUUAACGGUUGAUGUGUUUCUAUUGCCGUGAUGUCAUAAUGACGGUAUUACGAAAUGUAUUAAUUCAGAUAGAUUGCCACUUAUAUAUGUAAUGAUUAUCUUAAAGACUUGUUUUAAAUCUCUUUAUCUCUUUGGUUUACAAGAAUUUAACUCAUUAAAAUAGAAAAUCUCCACACAAAAAUUAAAGCUGCAAUUUUUUUCUAUUCCCAAAAUAGGUGAUCUUGCAUCAGCAAAACCCUGGAGUGCACCGCGAAUUCAUUCUCCCUGUAGAAAAGCAUUCAAACCCACAGCAUCCUCAUUACAACACACCUGGAGACAUGAACAGUACAUCGUACUUAGAUUUUCCAUGAAAGGUCAACAAGCUCUCGGACUAAAUAUAAAACAUCUUAAACUGUGUUCCGAAGAUGAACGGAGGUCUUACGAGUUUGGAACGACAUUAGGGUGGGACAUUGAUGAGCCGUCUGAAUGCAGUGAAACAUAUAGCCACAUUACACAAGUGCUCUGCAGGCUGACAAUUGCCAGGCGAACACUGACAGUGUCACCAAAUUUCCGGUAUCUCCUGUCCCUGACUGUUACCACCUGUCAGCUGCAGAUAUCCAGCAUGCAGAUUUGCAUUGACUAGACCCAAAGAGAUGACAUCUGUCAAUUACAGUAUGCAGAAUUUACCUUGAGUCUGUUAUUCCCUGAGGUGAACGUGGUUGGAGUACAUUCCUUAUAACUAUUUUUGAACAUGUUUCAGGUUCAUUAAAAAAAAAAAACUCUCUGUGCAUAAUUUGGUAAAAUUGCCUGAAUGUGCUUAAAGCGCUUAUUAAGUGCUUUAGUGUCAAAGAUUUGCCAGUAGUCUCCUGUUGAUAGGACGUGCACAGCUUGCCACCAGCAAAUGUUGUGUUGUGGAUGCUGGCCGCCAGCAUGGGAUACUGUGUGUUACAGUAAUUACUUAACUGGCUCUUUUAAAGAAUAACUAAACCAUAAACCGACUUUUUUUAGUUAAUGAUCUGUAAAAAUGCGGCUUUAUUAGUGCUGUUCAUUGAUUUGAGUAACUUUUUUGACAUUUGGGUAUAAAGUGUUUCAAUGCUACAAUAUACACUCACCUAAAGGAUUAUUAGGAACACCUAUUCAAUUUCUCAUUAAUGCAAUUAUCUAUUCAACCAGUCACAUGGCAGUUGCUUCAAUGCAUUUUGGGGUGUGGUCCUGGUCAAGACAAUCUCCUGAACUUCAAACUGAAUUUCAGAAUGAGCGUGGCAUUGUUGUUGGUGCCAGACCGGCCGGUCUGAGUAUUUCACAAUUUGCUCAGUUACUGGGAUUUUCAGACGCAACCAUUUCUAGGGUUUACAAAGAAUAAUGUGAAAAGAGAAAAACAUCCAGUAUGCGGCAGUCCUGUGGGCGAAAAUGCCUUGUUGAUGCUAGAGGUCAGAGGAGAAUGGGCCGAGUGAUUCAAGCUGAUAGAAGAGCAACUUUGACUGAAAUAACCACUCGUUACAACCAAAGUAUGCAGCAAAGCAUUUGUGAAGCCACAACAUGCACAGCUUGAGGCGGAUGGGCUACAACAGCAGAAGACCCCAGCGGGUACCACUCAUCUCCACUACAAAUAGGAAAAAGAGGCUACAAUUUGCACGAGCUCACCAAAAUUGGACAGUUGAAGACUGGAAAAAUGUUGCCUGGUCUGAUGAGUCUCGAUUUCUGUUGAGACAUUCAGAUGGAAAAGUCAGAAUCAUGCCUUGUUACCACUGUGCAGGCUGGUGGUGGUGUAAUGGUGUGGGGGAUGUUUUCUUGGCACACUUUAGGCCCCUUAGUGCCAAUUGGGCAUCGUUUAAAUGCCACGGCCUACCUGAGCAUUGUUUCUGACCAUGUCUUACCCUUUAUGACGACCUUGUACCCAUCCUCUGAUGGCUAUUUUCAGCAGGAUAAUGCACCAUGUCACAAAGCUCGAAUCAUUUCAAACUGGUUUCUUGAACAUGACAAUGAGUUCACUGUACUAAAAUGGCCCCCACAGUCACCAGAUCUCAACCCAAUAGAGCAUCUUUGGGAUGUGGUGGACCGGGAGCUUCGUGCCCUGGAUGUGCGUCCCACAAAUCUCCAUCAACUGCAAGAUGCUAUCCUAUCCUAAAGAAUGCUUUCAGCACCUUGUUGAAUCAAUGCCACAUAGAAUUAAGGCAGUUCUGAAGGCAAAAGGGGGUCAAACACAGUAUUAGUAUGGUGUUCCUAUUAAUCCUUUAGGUGAGUGUAUGGUGUAAAAACGUCUGAGUGCUGCCCUCUUCAGGUUGAACAAUGGCUACUGCAGUUAAAUUUUCCUGUUGGAUGUUGUGGUACCGCGUGAUGUAAGUGGUACGACCCUACGUAAGCAGG